GACGAACGCUGGCGGCGUGCCUAAUAUAUGCAAGUUGAGCGCUGAAGGUUGGUACUUGUACCGACUGGAUGAGCAGCGAACGGGUGAGUAACGCGUGGGGAAUCUGCCUUUGAGCGGGGGACAACAUUUGGAAACGAAUGCUAAUACCGCAUAAAAACUUUAAACACAAGUUUUAAGUUUGAAAGAUGCAAUUGCAUCACUCAAAGAUGAUCCCGCGUUGUAUUAGCUAGUUGGUGAGGUAAAGGCUCACCAGGGCGAUGAUACAUAGCCGACCUGAGAGGGUGGGCGGCCACAUUGGGGCGGAGACACGGCCCAAACUCCUACGGGAGGUAGCAGUAGGGAAUCUUCGGCAAUGGACGAAAGUCUGACCGAGCAACGCCGCGUGAGUGAAGAAGGUUUUCGGAUCGUAAAACUCUGUUGGUAGAGAAGAACGUUGGUGAGAGUGGAAAGCUCAUCAAGUGACGGUAACUACCCAGAAAGGGACGGCUAACUACGUGCCAGCAGCCGCGGUAA
rnacentral:rRNA from 1 species